UACGGAGGGGGCUAGCGUUGUUCGGAAUUACUGGGCGUAAAGCGCGCGUAGGCGGACCUGCAAGUCGGGGGUGAAAGCCCGAGGCUCAACCUCGGAACUGCCUUCGAUACUGCGGGUCUCGAGUCCGGGAGAGGGAUGUGGAAUUCCAGGUGUAGCGGUGAAAUGCGUAGAUAUCUGGAGGAAUACCGGUGGCGAAGGCGGCAUCCUGGACCGGCAUUGACGCUGAGGAGCGAAAGCCAGGGGAGCAAACGGG
rnacentral:rRNA from 1 species